rnacentral:rRNA from 1 species
CUUUUUACUCAGCACAACGUAUUAAAUCUGACACUAGUGAAUAAGUAGAAAAUACUAAAGCGAUAGAAGAAUGUAGUUGAAGGAACUCGGCAAAUUGACCCUGUAACGUCUGGAUAAGGGGGACCUUUUUAAAUGAAGGUAUUUAAGAAGAGGGGGCGGCGACUGUUUAUCAAAAACACAGGACUUUGCUAAAUUUAAUAAUGUUGUAUAAAGUCUGACACCUGCCCAGUUCUUUAUAGUAAAUACUAUUGGUUUAACGCUAAUUAGUUCAAGCUAGAGUAAACGGCGGCUGUAACUCUGANNNNNNNNNNCGGGUAAGUUCCGUCCUGCAUGAAUGGUGUAACGACUGCCCCACUGUCUCCAAUUACAAUCUAGUGAACCUGAAUACUAGGUGAAAAUGCCUAGACAAAACAGCGGGACGGAAAGACCCCGUGCACCUUUACUAGAACUUUUUACAAUUUUGAUACUUAAAUUCAAAAUGGUAGGAUUACCCUAAAACCAUUUUAUUUUAAGUACGUAAUUAAAUUUAUAAAAAUGAUUUUAUAAAUAAACUUGAAAA